rnacentral:rRNA from 6 species
UGCCUGGCGGCCGUAGCGCGGUGGUCCCACCUGACCCCAUGCCGAACUCAGAAGUGAAACGCCGUAGCGCCGAUGGUAGUGUGGGGUCUCCCCAUGCGAGAGUAGGGAACUGCCAGGCA